CCUACGGGAGGCAGCAGUGGGGAAUCUUGCGCAAUGGGGGAAACCCUGACGCAGCAACGCCGCGUGGGUGAUGAAGGCCUUCGGGUCGUAAAGCCCUGUCAGGUGGGAAGAAACUUGUGGAUGUUAAUACCAUCCGCACUUGACGGUACCCACAGAAGAAGCACCGGCCAACUCCGUGCCAGCAGCCGCGGUAAUACGGAGGGUGCGAGCGUUAAUCGGAAUUACUGGGCGUAAAGGGCGCGUAGGUGGUGCGUUGAGUCAGCUGUGAAAGCCCUGGGCUUAACCUGGGAAUGGCAGUUGAGACUGGCGUGCUGGAGUGUGACAGAGGACGGCGGAAUUCCCGGUGUAGCGGUGAAAUGCGUAGAGAUCGGGAGGAACACCGAUGGCGAAGGCAGCCGUCUGGGUUGACACUGACGCUGAGGCGCGAAGGCGUGGGGAGCAAACAGGAUUAGAUACCCUGGUAGUCCACGCCCUAAACGAUGCUCACUAGGUGUUGGGGAAGCGAUUCCUUGGUACCGUAGCUAACGCGUGAAGUGAGCCGCCUGGGGAGUACGGCCGCAAGGUUAAAACUCAAAGGAAUUGACGG
rnacentral:rRNA from 1 species